rnacentral:rRNA from 1 species
UACGUAGGGGGCAAGCGUUGUCCGGAUUUAUUGGGCGUAAAGAGCGUGUAGGCGGCCAUACAGGUCAGCUGUGAAAACUCGAGGCUCAACCUCGAGACGUCGGUUGAAACCGUAUGGCUAGAGUCCGGAAGAGGAGAGUGGAAUUCCCGGUGUAGCGGUGAAAUGCGCAGAUAUCGGGAAGAACACCCAUGGCGAAGGCAGCUCUCUGGAACGCAACUGACGCUGAGACGCGAAAGCGUGGGGAGCAAACAGG